UCAUCAGCAUCUUCAGGAGGUGGUCCACUUUCUCCGCGCUGGACGCGCAGUUCUGGUCCAGUUCGAACCUAUCGAGUUGACUCAGGGUACCAGAGACUAUCAGCAGCUCGAUGAGUCGGUCCGCAUCUGUUAUGGACUCCAUAUGGGAAUGACGAGGAAGGACAGCACUCAAGUACUUGUGGAUUUCCAUAUAUAUACUUGACCACAGCUCUUAUUACUAGAUGAAUAUUACUAUUCAUCUACUUCAGUACACCCUACAUAUCUGACAUCCUUGCAGCUCACUGAAUACUGUAUUAAUAAAAAGCCCUACAGUGGCUAAAUAUAAUAUUAAUAUACAUCACUAUAUGAUUUAACUAAAAUUGCCGCUGAAUACAAAAUGAAAGGUCAUUUAUAUGCAACAGUUUUUUCUCCUCUCUUAUACUUUCAGGUUUUUGGCUUCUUAUUACCACAAUUAGUAAGAUCAGUUUAUGUAAUAAAAACACAGCCUUAUACAGUAGCUCUUCUAAUUUAUAAGCAAUGUAUUACUGACUAUUCAUUAUUCUUUUUAAUUCAACAUAGACACAUCAAAUUGGAAGGAGCCUAAUCCGCAGUCAUCCUUACUGACUAUGUUAAGUAUUUUAUUCUGGUGAAAUGCUCACGCAGUGAUAAGAUUUAAGGAUUUUGCUCAGUCCUUGCAUAAUUCUGCUGCUUUAGCCACAGGCUUAUGCACCAUGUUUCUAUAUCUCUCUGCGACCAAUUUCAGUGUACAGUACAGUAGCUGUGUGCUGGAUAAGAUAAAACAAGCUGAGAGACAUAUGCUUAUAAACAAUAUUGGAGGGGCACAAAUGAAAUAGGUGUCUUAAAGCAGUCUUAUCAAGCAUAAAGGGAUGAUGAUGGAUGGAUGCACUCUGCUUCCAGUCUGCAGCUGAAUAAAGAUUGUUGGCACAGAGGCAGGCAUCUGCAGGCAUACCUCUCAAACCGUGACCUUAUUCAUGCAUGCACUGAAUCGCAUUGUGACAUCUGCAGCCCUCUCCCUCUCUGUCUCUCUGCCAUGCUGGCUCCAUAGCCUGUGCGCCCAUGUGCUAUCCCUUUAGAUGCAAAAUGAAUUGCAUUCAUAUCAAAAGGAAAGCAGUUCCCUAUUGCCGACACAGAUGUCUGCAGUCCACUUCUGAGAAUAUAGAUGACAGCAUUUUAUCUUGAGAGGCUUUAUUAUUUAGGCAACAUGGGUGAUGGUUCUAGUAGCUGUCUGAUCAUUUACUGAAAUUGUAUUUGUUUUAUUAAACAGAAUUGUUUAUCAGGCAGACCACAUCAGAGUAGAUGAAAGCUUUAUUUUUUAUUAACAAUCCUGUCACUAAACAUAUCCUUAAUUUGUCCUUGUCCGACAGUCACAAGCAGGAAUUUGUAUGGAUUUAUUAUUUGCCGUCUGAAUAGAGCUCUAGCAAACACAGAGACUGUCAGCACUAAGGGUGGCAAACCAAUUAUUUUUCCAACAACACACUUUUAUUUAGUGCAUCUACAUAAUUCAUUUUCAUCAAUGAUUUAUCCAUUUUAACAGUGUUUCCAAGUCCCAGUUUAAAACGGAUGUGGCAACAUUUUAAGAGGUGAAUACUGUUCAAGAAUAUAUAGGACAUUUUUUAGGUAAAACCACACAUUGGGACACAUUCAUACUUAAUUACAGACUUAAAAUUAGACAAUUCAUGGGUUUUAAUUAACAGUAGAUUACAUUGCCUUGAGCUACAGAUGCCUGUAUCAAAAAGGAAGUUUCUGAUUAAAUGAUGCCGAAACUACAUUGCAGUCAGACAUGCUGUAGCGCUUUGAAAUUAACAAAAAAAAUGUGUAAUGAUGUUCCAAUUAUCUUCUCAUAACUGAUGUAAUCACAUUUAAUCUUUAUUAAAUUUCUAGUUAUUCUAAUCUAAACAUCUAUCUAAAGCCCUCAAGCUUUCUCUGCCAUGUCUAGUCCCUUUGAAUAUGAUGUGAUCAAAAAUGAUUCUUCCAGCAUGGCUGUUACCCAACAGUCCCACAGGCCCCCAACAGCACUGACGGACAUGCUAGACUUGUUUAAUGUGGCCAAAGCAGCUUUAUGGAUGCCAUCAACUCCCCCUCCUCCCUUAUGAGUUAUUGAUUGUAGUGCAGUUAACUCACACACAGUACGGUGCAGUAGCUAGCCAAGCGCAGAGCCACGUCUUUACAGCCAAGUCUGUAGACCAGCAUCGAAAAUGAUGCCGACAGUAGUUAAUAAGGCAUGAAGAGCUCCAUGUGCAGCCACAUGCUAGCUGUACCCGUUUAAGGAAAGACACAGUGUCUGUACUGAUCGAAUCAAAUGCUGCAUCUUGUCACCAAAUGAUUUCUGAUUGAGAGACCUUCAGCAUAUUCAGUGUUGAAGAAUCAAGGCACUUGUUCCUGUGUUCAGUUUGAAUUUAAAUUAAUCUUGGCCCACCGUGUAAUGAUCAACAGAAAAUAUUUAUGCUGAAAUUCUCUAUUUUGGUGUAAAUGUUGAGCUUGAUAAUCAUACUUCACUGCCCUCUACUGACAAACCGAGCCCAGUACCAAGUGCCAGCUACUGUAUCACAGAAGCCCCUCCAGUUUACAACAUGACGCAACUGGUGAGAUGCCAUCAGUUUAUAUAAGACUCAUUUAUUAGUCUUUAUUGUUUCUAUGAGACAAACCACAAAUAACGCCUGUGCCUUUUUAGAAUUUAUUUUCUAGAUCUAAUUCACCAGCAAUUUGUGCUAUGAUAAUGCUACGAUUGUAUUUGGCAUAGUUACAAAUAUAUGAUGCACAAAUGUAAAUAGAGCACAACAACAAUAUUCUCAACACAAGUAGACAAUAUAUAGAAACGAUUAUACAAUUGCAAACAUUAACUCUGGUAAAUAGCUGCUGUGUGCUUAAUGCCUUACACUGAAUGUUUUUCAGCUGAUGGCCAGAAUUAUAAAUGGCUGAUAAUUUUGGCACAAGCUAAAUACACCAUCUUCAAAAAAUAAAGUCUUUAAAACUGAAAUGUAAUCU